AGCUCGUGUCGUGAGAUGUUGGGUUAAGUCCCGCAACGAGCGCAACCCUUGUCUUUAGUUGCCAUCAUUAAGUUGGGCACUCUAGAGAGACUGCCAGGGAUAACCUGGAGGAAGGUGGGGAUGACGUCAAAUCAUCAUGCCCCUUAUGCUUAGGGCUACACACGUGCUACAAUGGGUAGUACAGAGGGUUGCCAAGCCGUAAGGUGGAGCUAAUCCCUUAAAGCUACUCUCAGUUCGGAUUGUAGGCUGAAACUCGCCUACAUGAAGCUGGAGUUACUAGUAAUCGCAGAUCAGAAUGCUGCGGUGAAUGCGUUCCCGGGUCUUGUACACACCGCCCGUCACACCACGGGAGUUGGAGACGCCCGAAGCCGACUAUCUAACCUUUUGGAAGAAGUCGUCGAAGGUGGAAUCAAUAACUGGGGUGAAGUCGUAACAAGGUAGCCGGAUCGGAAGGUGCGGCUGGAUCACCUCCUUUCUAAGGA
rnacentral:rRNA from 1 species